rnacentral:rRNA from 1 species
AAAGGAAUAGACGGGGGCCCGCACAAGCGGCGGAGCAUGCGGAUUAAUUCGAGGCAACGCGAAGAACCUUACCAAGGCUUGACAUACACCGGAAGCCCCUUGAAGUGGGGGUCUCUUUGAUACUGGUGUACAGGUGGUGCAUGGUUGUCGUCAGCUCGUGUCGUGAGAUGUUGGGUUAAGUCCCGCAACGAGCGCAACCCUUGUCCUAUGUUGCCAGCACGUUGUGGUGGGGACUCAUGGGAGACUGCCGGGGUUAACUCGGAGGAAGGUGGGGAUGACGUCAAAUCAUCAUGCCCCUUAUGUCUUGGGCUUCACGCAUGCUACAAUGGCCGGUACAGAGGGUUGCGAUACUGUGAGGUGGAGCGAAUCCCUUAAAGCCGGUCUCAGUUCGGAUCGAAGUCUGCAACUCGACUUCGUGAAGGUGGAGUCGCUAGUAAUCGCAGAUCAGCAUCGCUGCGGUGAAUACGUUCUCGGGCCUUGUACACACCGCCCGU